rnacentral:misc_RNA from 1 species
UCUCCGUAGGUGAACCUGCGGAGGGAUCAUUAACGAGUUCCCCUUAAACGGGUAGAAUUCCCACCCUAUGUUAUCAUUACCUUUGUUGCUUUGGCGGGCCGUCUCGGCCUCGGUCAGGCUACCGGCUCCGGCUGGUAAGCGACCGCCAGAGGACCCCAAACUCUGAAUAUUAGUGUCGUCUGAGUACUAUAUAAUAGUUAAAACUUUCAACAACGGAUCUCUUGGUUCUG